UGCUGCAUUCAACGUAUAGAACUCCUAAAGAGUGAAAAUAAGGAUUUGAAAGAUUUUAUACGGGUCUUGGAGCUGGAGAACGAGGAGCUUAAGAUAAGAGUGAAGGAAGUUGAAGGUGGUGCAGGGCAUUGCCAAAACGCUGCAGGCCAUGAGCACAUUGCAGGAGAUCUAGAAGCAGUGCUAAGACAAUUGAACCAAGCUCAUGAGGCACUGAUUGCAGGGAAGGAUAAGGAAAUUUCAGCACUGAUUGCAGAGAAGGACCUCGUGCAAGAGCGGUUUAGGACACUGGAGCGGGGCUAUGCUGACCUUCGUAGCUACAGCAGUAAAUGGGCAGCACAAGUGACUGAAACAAAGCAAGAGCAUAAGCAGCUGCAAGUGGCAUCCCAAAAGAAGGACGAUGAGAUUCGCCGAUUGCGUGCACGAGCAAAAGCAGUUGAAGCCAAAAUGAAAUUGCUUCCAGAGGAUAAGCGACAGGAGAUGACCUGUAUGCCCGAGGAGACAGAUCAGUGUUUUUAGUCAUAUUACCUAGAAAACAAUUUGUCCAUUCGUUCUUCAGUCUGUUUUUUUUCAACUAUAUGAUCUCAUUCCAUAAUUUGUAGGCAUCGGUGAGCGACAUGGAUGAUGCACGUGAACAGAUUGGCACUGCCAUCUCCACUACACUGAAGGAGAUCAAGCCUAUUUCCAUCAGCAUCAAGUGGAACCUUCCCUUGACAUACAUCCUUCUCCUUUCUUUUUUCUCUCCCGAGGUAAGUUGGCAUGCUCCAUGUUCGUGCAUAAGGACGAUGAGAUGGAUAUGUGUUCGGUGUUAUUGAUUUUGAGGAACUGCUCAUUUGUCAGCCUGUCAAACCAGAUGAGCUUGAGAGGAACUAAGAGAAAUGACUAUUCAUUUACCACUUGUGUCAUCCGAUCCUCUCUAUUGUCAAUUUGCCAUUCGAGUGAUCCUUGAAUGUAUUAGUAGACAAAAUGACAUGUUUUUUUAUCAGCUAUGAUAUGUGUUUCCACUGGAUACUUGUCGCUUUUCGAUGGGCAUAUUUUAGCUUGAGAAUAUUUUUGCGAAAACAUAGCGGUGCUUUUGCUAUGAUGGAAAUUCAGAAUAGGGUGUAGAUUGAUACACGUAGGAAUUUGUGACUGAGUUUUAUGCUCAGGGCUGGAUACCUGCUCUCCGCUCUUCACCUAUCCUAUAACUCAUUUCAUCUUUCGUGUUGUCAUAAUGUGUCCAUUAGACUGUAUUCUAGCUGAAAGUUUUAGAGUUGUCAAUUAUUUUUGAAACUUGGUUCGCAUAGUAGCUGGUCCUUUUUUGGGACAUAUUUGUUGUGUCUUUUCCCCCAUUUAGUCUUGUAUUUUGUCGUACAUAGUUCAAUUAGCUUCAAGUGCAACAUAGGACCGAGUAUGAUAGCCCACUCGAUGGUCUUAUAUUCUUCAAGCAAGGAUGAAAGAAGUUCCUCACUUAUUUCAGACUGUAUGUAGUCUACAUUGAAAUAUUAAAACACAUAUUAUAUUUGUGAAUGUAGAGAGUAUUUUCAUGUUCUCAUGCUAUUGAUUGCCAAGUGCAUCCAUUGCACUUUGGAGUACCGUGGUCAUGUUCUGUUUUGAAUGCUUGCUACUGAUUGCUUGUGAAUGGUGUUGGAGCUGGCCGAGCAGGCCCCUGGAGGUUGGAGGAGGCCUUGGGGAAUGGGGAUGGUGAGCGGCCAGCUUUCGGCAGAACCCCACUACCAUCUCCCAUAUCCUGCCGCUGGCGAGGCGGACCAUGGAGAGCGCGAGGAAGAUUUGGUCAUUUGCCAGAUGUGCCGAUGGGCGUCUCAUGAACAAACAAUUGGAGGCUUUGCAGAAGAAGAGCACGGAGAACACCCCUCUUCCUUUACAACUAAAAUUGAAUUUACAGGUGAUCGAUUCAUGAAGUUUAAGUGUUUAUCAAAUUGAAUGCAAGGGUGAUUAGGAUUUUACAUGAUUCUAUUUGCUUAGUGUCAUAACAUUUAAACUAUCGAUGAUCUUCUUGAAUGUUAAUUGUUAUUCCUUUCAGCUAAGAAGUUGUUACUUUUAAUUUGUUUUGGACAAAGGAACCUACCACUUUGAUGUGUUAGUAUUAGAAUGAAAAUUACUUGCAAUUUCAGUUUGCAUCUACACUUUGAUGCUUAUGCUUUUGAAGUACAUAUCAUUGCACAAUUGUUAACGUAUGAUUCAUAUAGAACUUGAUGAAUUCGAGAGUUAUACUUUCAUGAUUUCAUAAGAUAUUUAACUCAAAAUUCCGGUUUCUAUUUGACGAGCAAGCUGUCUUAGAAAAUCGACAGCUGAAGGCAUGCAUCGCUGAAGUAAGUGGAGGAUGCCUCAAAAGAGUGUGGUGACUGCUUUGAAAAGGCAUCACGUCCUAACAUAAACGAAGAGGAGAAAAGGAAGAUCCUUCAUAUUGUGAUUAUUAGUGGUGGAUCCACUCGAGUUGAAUUUGGUGGAGAGCUGCAUGUUUUUCUUGUCGAAGUAAUGGUGAAGCUAUAUCCUGCAAUUGAAGAUUUUUUUUAAGAUAAGAAUUAUUCAGCCAGGACAGCAUAUAUUGAAUAUGUAGGUAAAUGAAUGUAUUUGAAGGUGAGCUUCCAUGCACAGAUAAUGAGGUUGUACUGCUGGUUCACAUAUAGGAGACUAGAACAUGCAUGUUGCAGGUAGUGAGCUCCGAGCUAAUCAUCUCCUGGGAUAAUUCUUAAAUACUGUGAGAAAAAGUGAACAAUUUGGAACAUUUUGUAUUAUUAGGAAAAUAGUUUAGUCAUCAGAAGUGGAACAUAUAUCCUGAUCAUUGAUUUCUUACGAGGAUAGAUUGAAGAAUACCACCUUACCUCCAUGCUCCAAACAAUGCCAGCGUAGGAUUAAUUCUAAACAAAUAUUAUCAAUAUUUUUUGAAUUGUGGCAGUUUCUUCCCUGUUCUCCCCCCCUUUGCUUUCCUUUUUAAAUGAAUGUUCCCAACUUCUAUGAAACUAUCAUGUUUACUGUAGACAUUGCAAUUAUGUUGGGAAUACGACGUUUUGUUGAUUUGACAAGGAAUUUUUUCCUACUGUUUCAAUAUACAUGCCCCCCGUUGUAGCAUCAGUAGAUCUUCUCUUUUCUCCGUGUGUACUGUGAGAUGAUAUAUCUAUUUUCUAUGAAAGAUAAUUGUGUUUUUUGAAACAAAGUUGCAAAGAGAUGGCAUCGAGUUGAGUAUGGAUUUAGAGUGAUAAAGUUUUCUGAUGAUUCGGUUGCAGUGAAGUGCAAAUCAGAUGGUGGAGGAUCAUUGGUGUCGUAUGUGAUGGAUGUUUGGUCUACUGGCAUAGGUUCUCAGAAAAAAUCAACAACUGAAGGAGAGUGUUUUAAUUCCUAUAAUCAACGGCUACAAGGGGAGUAUUGAUUUUAGGUUGAAAAUGCGGCUUGGAGCCUGUCUCUAAAGUCUUGCUGGCUUUUUCGAACAUCCAAGCAAGAAACAGGGCAGCAAUCAGAGCAUUUGGUACUGAGGGAAAAGUGAAGGGCCUGAGUAUUGUUCUUUCGAUUGAAGUUGUUGAACCUUGUGGUGUGCCCCGGGAACUGGCUUUCUUUCAGCAUCUUAAAUAAAGCUUUGAAUACUAUGCUAA